GGCCAGGUAGCCAAGUAGCAAGGCAAGGGUCUGCAAAACCCUUAUACGCGGGUGCAAAUCCCGCCCUGGCCU
rfam:Candidatus Omnitrophica bacterium 4484_213 ex4484_213_scaffold_12799, whole genome shotgun sequence.